AUUUGAGUUUAGAUUGCUUUCUGUGUGGCUCCAGGUGUUGCGAGAGAGACGAGAACUGGAUUUACAAGCGUGUAAGUUUAAGAGAGCUUUGCGCUUCACCCUUUGGACUGCGUUAGCUUUUUUGGCACGAGGAGAGCGGAAAUGGGCAGUACACUUUGGGGAGCACAGGUUCUGAUAUGCGCGUGCUGAGCCACACUCCUUGGAGGAGCUCGCGACCACUUCGGAGGAGCUCGCGACCACUUCGCAGCAGCAUGAGGACGUGAGCAGGUCGGAAGGAGCGGCUCCUGGGUCCCGACGUGCCUCCUCUCUUCCUCCUCGGUCACGCCUGCGCGCUCAAACUGUGGCCGGCCUCAGCUCUGAAAUCUCGGCACAUCAGAGAGCCAGGGGCGCGCGGCCGCUCCGCGUGUGCUCCUCCGUGGCAGCAAUGAUGCUCACGCUCACCUUCACCUGCCGCGCGCUGCUCCUCUUCCUGCUCUCGGAGUCGGUUCAGACCGACAAGACGGCGCCCUUCCUGAUCACAGAGAACAUGUGGCCUCGUGGUUGUGUGCUGGACUGCCAGAGGGGGCGCCACAGACCUGUGUGUGGCAGCAAUGGCAGGCUGUAUAAAUCGCUGUGUGCCUUUCAGAGGGCACAGUGCAUCAACACACAGCUCCGCCACGUUGCACGGGGACACUGCACAGAUCCGUUACAGACUAAAUGCCAGCUGGCCCAAGCUCAGGGCCUUGAGGCCAGAGCCCGCAGCCGCGGUAGUCCUGCAGCUGCAGUUUUUGUGCCUGCGUGCAGUCCCGAAGGUCACUUCAUGCCCAUGCAGUGCCACAACCAGACCGGAUAUUGCUGGUGCUCCACGCCCGAUGGCAAACCUGUCAGUGGUACCACGGUCCUCCGUGUGGUCCCCAACUGCACUGAUCACCUCGCCGAGCUCGUUCAAAUCACCGAUACAGAUGCAACUCCAAUCAAAGAUGGAGACGUUGGACCUGGACCUACAAUGGACCCUAGAAAACCUGCAGAGCUGACGGCGCCUCCAUUCUGGGUGACCAUCCUGAUGAACUCUGAGCCACGAGGAAACCGCUCACUCAGACGACCUCCUGACAAUCCUCAGACUUGUCAGCGUGAGCGAGCGUCUCUGCUCUCUCAGACUCGCCAAGCCCGGGAGGAUGAGCGUUUCAUCCCAGAAUGCACUGCAGAUGGGCGUUACAGCCCUGUGCAGUGCCACAAGGCUACAGGUUACUGCUGGUGUGUCAGAGUGGACACUGGGAGGCCACGACCAGGCACCUCAGCACGGAAUCAAAUUCCAGACUGCACUAGGGCAGAGGCGGCAUCACUGGAGAAACCUCUUCCUGGGUGUCCUGGAGCUCGUAAGAAGAAGUUCCUUCAGAGUCUGGUCAGAGCGCUGCAGGUGGAAGCACAGCAUGCUGGGAGUCUGAGUCCCUACCAAGACUCAAACACAGAUCCCUCCAGUGCUCCUUCGCCCACUUCAAACCCUCCACCCUCUGUCGCGCCUUCAUCUUCUUCCUCCUCUCUGGAUAAUGCCCCCACUAAUGCUGCAGAGUCUUCUAGGCCAGAGGUGGUGCUGCAGUGGCACUUUAGUCAGCUGGACGUGGACUCCGACGGGUGGCUCAGUGAGCGUGAGGCUCGACCCCUCCGUCAGUUCCUGCGGCGCAGACUGAAGCCGCGACGCUGUGCUAAGAAGUUUGCCCAGUACUGUGACAGCGAUGGAGACCGAAGCCUGACGUUAGGGGAGCUGAGGGUGUGUCUGGCUCUCUGAGGAGGCUUACCGUCAGAUUUGAAUGUAAACAGAUUUUCCCCUUAUUAAGAUAAUGACAGCGAAGAAGAGAAGAAAUUCAGGGAAAGGCAGCUCUACGCGCCCUAACGCCUCGGUUAAAGAGGCACCCCGACGUACUGCACAUGCUUAACCACCAUCGAGCUGACGCUAACCUUCACACUGCUGCCCAUAAAAACAGAAUAUAAUCAAAGUUUACUUAGACCAUGACACAGUUCAAUAAAACCAGCUCAGCCUGUUUCAAAAUAACACGUUGAGCUCGCCUGUGCAGUCUAGCAGAGAGUAGAGCACACGCUGUGAAUGUACCAAUUCUUCUGAGCCGUUGAACCGAUCGGCCUGAUUAAGGACAGGUGCACCAGCUGGCAUAACGACAGGGAGCAGAGUCUCUUUUCUCACUCCAGCUGCUGCUCAGAGUGAACCCGCUCAUGCUGUAUGAAGCUCAUUUGAUACGUUUCUCCACCCGGGUUGAUGAAGAUUCUUUUUGUUAACACGUUUUGGAAGUCCCAUCGGAUUGUUUUUAGAGAUGUAGGAAAUAAUGGAUGGAUGGAUAAGCUUUAUUUGAUGCCAAUGUACACGGUGGUCAUGGACGCUGCGACCUCAUCGCACCUCCAGCUGAGCCGCUGUCUCCAUCGGGUGGGAGCUGAGAGAAAGCGUCACCACGCCCGGUUAAGCGAAGGUCAGCAGUCACCAGUGGACCCAGGUGGCCUUGAAGGAGGGACAAAGAGUUCUGACAAUGUUGAAAACAGAAGAUUAGAGCAGCUACAGUGAUACCAUUCUGAGUCUAGUCUGACAUCGUCAGUCACACGUCAGCUGACCUGAUAUUUCCAGUUGAGUCAAAGCGACCGAGAGCAACGAGACAAAUCAGCUGACAUCAAAAGGCAGCUCGUUUUAGUGAUUAAGUCAUAGAAGCGCCAUCGUUGGGGUUGGAAGAUCUGUUCUGUCCCCCAGUUGUUCCCACAUGGUCGCAAAUUCCUGAAACCAUCGCUGUGGGGUGGAGCAGGGGGAGGUUUUAAUGUGCACCCUCCACCCACUCCUCUACUGACUCAUUACUUUCGUUUCUGACUCUCACAUGGCUCACUUGUCUUUUUUUAUGGUGUCGUCCUCACACAGUGAGUCUGGCUGUGUGAAUCUCUCACUCUCACACACACACACACACACACACACACACCAGGAGAGUGUCAGCUUCAUGCAGGGAUGCCAACGUGAAACCAUAACGAGGCAAGUUUAAUUUCAUAUGACUCUGAGAGUAUGAUGAUAAUAUUGAUUUAAUGGGAAAACAAUUCUGAUCAUCAUCCAUCAGCACCGUUCGCUGGCUUAACUUUCCCUGGUGUAGGACUGCAGGUCACAGGUAUCUACCAUUAAGAAGGAUGUAAAACUGAUGAGGAUUCAGGGCUGGGGCUCAGAUACAAUCAGCACUCCAGACAACCACUACAGUAAUCUGAUCGCUUCUCAACCAGUUGCAGCUCAGUGUCCUCUGCUAUAUCACACCCUGCAGAGCCAUCCAGGGGUUCAGGUUUGAUUCUUUUUGGCUGACUUUUGCUCGUGAUUCCAGACCAAACACAACAACAAACCUUAAUUUAUUCAGUUACUGCUUUCCUUUUUCUCCUUUCAUUAAUCUUUUGUGUCUUUUCCUUUCCAAGCCUGCAUCUCUUCUUCUCUGUACAUACUUUGUUACAACACAUACUGACAGUAUAUAUUAAGUCAUGUAUACAUAAGUAUAUGUACUUUUGUAAUUUGUUCGAUAAUUUGUAUUUUCAGACCACAUCAUUGACUCACAGCAUUUUCUACUAAGUAAUUGUGAUUGAAAAAAGGAAAAAACAGGUCUGAUGGAUGGAUGUCCAAGUAACUUCAUGUUUUUGCUGUUUGUAAAUUUCAAUAAAACAAAUUUGUCGUCUCAUUUUUA